AGUUUCUUUUUCAUUAUUCAUCAUCGAUUUCUCUCUCCCCUUCCAAUCGCUGUUGUUUAACCGAUCACAACAACACCUUUAGAUCUGAAAAUUAUGGCCAGCAGAAGUGGCGGCGUAGCCACUAACGGCGGAGCAAUUCCGUCGGCUUCUCGGAAGAUGGUACAGAGUCUCAAGGAGAUUGUCAAGGGAGUUUCCGAUGCUGAGAUCUACGUUGCGCUUAAGGAGUGUAAUAUGGACCCUAAUGAAGCUGUUAAUUGUCUCCUAACUCAAGGAUUUUCAUCCUUCAGAUGUAUAUCGUAUUGCCGGUGGGGUGGAAGGUGUUGCUGUCGUUACGCCCUCGGGUUCACAGCCGUCGCUUUAUUGCCGGAGAUUUGCUAGAUGCUAACUUGAGGGAAUCAGUGAAUCAUCCGAAAUGUGGUCAAUUUGAAGGAAUAAUACCGGAUAAGUUGUGGAAAAAGUAUGCUGUGAAGAUUGAUGUGAAUAAGUAUGCUGUGAAGAUUUUGUGCUCCCAUGCUAACACGCUCCACGAUGGAAGUAAUGGUUGAAUCGGUAGCAUACAACGCGACGAGUAGGCUUAGUGUUUAAAACAUUCCAUGCAAACAAUAGUAGUAAAGACUACGUUUUUAUUUUUCUGAUAUGUGGUUUGCUUGUUUGUUUCAUUGGGUUAUUUUUUAUGUAAACUGCAUGUUUAGUUGGUUGGUAUACCUUAUAAUAUAUUUUUUGAUU